ACCUGGUUGAUCCUGCCAGUGCGAUUUGUCUGGUUAAUUCCGAUAACGAACGAGACUCCGGCCUGCUAAAUAGUUCGGGGCCCCUCUAUCGUCGGUCCCCGUAAACUCUUUAGAGGGACAAGUGGCGCUUAGCCACACGAGAUUGAGCAAUAACAGGUCUGUGAUGCCCUUAGAUGUUCGGGGCCGCACGCGCGCCACACUGAGUGGAUCAGCGUGUGUCUCGCCUGACCCGAGAGGGUUGGGAAACCCGUUGAACCCCAUUCGUGCUAGGGAUUGGGGCUUGCAAUUAUUCCCCAUGAACGAGGAAUUCCCAGUAAGCGCGGGUCAUAAGCUCGCGUUGAUUACGUCCCUGCCCUUUGUACACACCGCCCGUCGCUAC
rnacentral:rRNA from 1 species